GAUGAACGCUAGCGGCAGGCUUAAUACAUGCAAGUCGUGGGGCAGCAUGACUGUAGCAAUACAGUUGAUGGCGACCGGCAAACGGGUGCGGAACACGUACACAACCUUCCUUUAAGUGGGGAAUAGCCCAGGGAAACUUGGAUUAAUACCCCGUAACAUAUAGAAGUGGCAUCACUUUUAUAUUAUAGCUCCGGCGCUUAAAGAUGGGUGUGCGGCUGAUUAGAUAGUUGGCGGGGUAACGGCCCACCAAGUCGACGAUCAGUAACUGGGGUGGGAGCACGACCAGUCAAACGGGCACUGAGACACGGGCCCGACUCCUAAGGGAGGCAGCAGUAAGGAAUAUUGGGCAAUGGACGCAAGUCUGAACCAGCCAUGCCGCGUGGAGGAUGAAGGUCCUCUGGAUUGUAAACUUCUUUUAUCUGGGAAGAAACCCACCUUUUCUUGGGUGGUUGACGGUACCAGAUGAAUAAGCACCGGCUAACUCCGUGCCAGCAGCCGCCGUAAAAC
rnacentral:rRNA from 1 species